rnacentral:rRNA from 1 species
CAGUCGCCGCGGUAAAACAGAGGGUGCAAGCGUUAAUCGGAAUUACUGGGCGUAAAGCGCGCGUAGGUGGUUCGCCAAGUUGGAUGUGAAAUCCCCGGGCUCAACCUGGGAACUGCAUCCAAAACUGGCGAGCUAGAGUAUGGUAGAGGGUGGUGGAAUUUCCUGUGUAGCGGUGAAAUGCGUAGAUAUAGGAAGGAACAUCAGUGGCGAAGGCGACCACCUGGACUGAUACUGACACUGAGGUGCGAAAGCGUGGGGAGCAAACAGGAUUAGAUACCCCAGUAGUCCCUGUCUCUUAUAC